UAUGAAUAUUUACUAAAUGCCAAACAAAACCUCACAGACAUAAUGAUUGAUUCACAUAAAAAGUAAUUAAUUUUAAACUUGACUAAUGAUUAAUAAUAAAUGUUUAUGUAUAUUUCUUUAAUUAUAUUUUAAUAUAUAAAAACAAUUUACUUUUCAUUUUCAUUUAAUUAUCAUAUGUUAUUUUUAGGACAGUUAUUUCUGCAUUACAUGUAUGGCUAGAUUCAUAUCCAGAAGAUUUUCGUGAUCCACCAUUACAUACAUGUUUAAGAUGUUUGCAUUCAUUCACAUAUACUUAUUUGCCUAAAACUGAACUUCAUUUAAAAGCAACAUAUAGACUAGAAAAAUUCCUUAAAGAAUGUAAUCAGUUAGGUAGGUUGAGUUAAUAAUAUACCCUUUUAUUUAAACUUAACAUUUUUUUUUUUUUCAGAUACUACAUAUAUAAAUGACAAAUAUGAUUUGGUGAUGACUAGUAAUUCACAUUCCUCUUACAAUUUUCCUAACAUAGCAGAAAGACAUUUUGCUGAGCAGUUGACCAGAAUGGAUCGUGUAUGUAUUUCGAAACAAAUAUUUUAUUAUAUUUAUCUAUUUACUAUUUAUUAGUAUAUUUCAUUUAAAAUGUAUCUUUAAUUGCAUUAAAAAGAUGUCAUACCACUCAUAAUUUAAGUAGAAAAACUAUUUUGUGUGGGGCAAAUUUUUUUCACUAUAUUAACAAUAGAAUUACCUAAAUUUUACAUUGUAUGAAGAAUAAUUUUAUCUAUGUUGGGUGCAUAUUUUUUUGAUAACAAAUAAAAAUUUUAAACUCGUCUAUCUGUUAGUAAAUUGUUUUUUUUUUUUUUUUUUUUUUUUCAUUUACUUAUAAAAAAAAAUAAACAGUAGUACUAUUAAAAUAAUAAGCACAAUAAGAUAGAUAAAGUUAUUCUUUAUGUGUUCUGAAAUUUAAAUUUUAUCUAUUAUAAUACAAUAAGUAAUAUAAUAAAUAAUAAUAUAAUAAGUAGCAAGACUGUUCACUGCAAAAAUAUUUGUCCAUAUAUAUUAGUUCAUUUCAUGAUUACACAAUAAACACUUGUAAUAAUGGCAAAAGAAUACAAUUUACAUAUAGUCACCUAUACAUUUAUUUGAAAGUGAAUUUAAAUAUUUUGUUUAUUGAUGAAUGUUUGUUAUUUUAAAAUGCAUUUACAUCAACCCUUAAAUAUUGGGUGUGUAGCAUCCUUUAAAUGUAUGUAUAAAUAUUACCUUAUUGUUAUAGGAUGUAUUGAAAGAUAUGGUAUCUCAUCAAUGCCUUGGUGCUGUUUGGUCUAAAAAUAAAAGAACGGGAUCUGCACCUACAGUUCUGGCAACAAUUGACCAGUUUAAUGCUGUAUCACUAAGAGUUAUUAGUACAGUUUUAUUAGCAAUUAAUUCAGUAAGAACACGUAUCAUUGAAACUUGGAUUAACAUAGCACAAGUAAGUAUAAUGAAAUGGGUCCCUAAGUAUAUACCUUUAAAAUCAUUCAAUAAUAUAAAGAAAAACUAAAUUAACUAGAAAUUUAAAUUAUAUGUCUGUAUAAAAUCAAAUAUAAAAAUGUAAUUUAUUUAUUUAACAAUUGAAAAUAAUUAUCAUAUUAUAUAAAAAGUUUAAAAUUAGACUAUCCUUAUAACCCCAUAAAUUAAUGCAAAAUUUAACCUAAAUAUAAAAUAAAAAUAUAUUUGAAUGAUUCUGAAAUUCAUAUUUUAAUUAAUACUUUACAUAAAUAAAUUAUUAUAAUAAGCUAAUUUUAAAUUUUAUACAGUCAAAAAUUAACUGUUUUUUAAUUUGUUUUUUUUUUUUAUAUGUAUAAAAAACACCUUCAAGCAGCAGUUUUGUCGCCAAAAUCAAAUUUUCUAUAAGCCAUUACAAUAUUUCAUUUUUUUUUUUUUUUUUGUAGUUGACUUUUAUUUAAUUUCAUAGGAAUUAAGGGUACUUAAGAAUUUUUCAUCAUUGAAAGCAAUUAUAUCAGGUCUACAAUCAAAUUCUGUGUUUCGAUUAAAAAAAACAUGGCAUUCUCUUCCUAGAGAUAAGGUAUUAGUGAUUUAAAUAUUCAAAUCAUAAUAGUAAAUUUUUUUAAUCCAGUUAUCUUUUAAAAAAUAAUAUUUGUUCUUAAAGCUGGAAUUGUUUCAAGAACUUGCAAGAAUAUUUAGUGAAGAAAAUAACCAGUGGGCCCAAAGAAAAUUGUUAAUAAAGGAGGGUACAGCUAAAUUUGCUGACACAUUUGGACACAAUGAUAGGCAUUUACAAAAAUUAAUUCAAAAACAACAAAGUACUAUGAGUGUAAGUUACCAGUUGUAAUAAAAAAUUAUACUAAUAUUUAUAUAUUAGUAUUGCAGGUUAUGUAACGCACAUUUUAAUAAUUAUUAUUUAAUAUUAAAUCAAUAUAAUUCAAUUUCUUAGUAUUAUUGUUUUUUAAAAAAAAAAUAUUGAUUUUAUGUAGAAAUUAAACAUUGGAACUAUUCCAUACUUGGGGACAUUUCUUACUGAUUUAACUAUGAUUGAUGCAGCCAUCCCUGAUAUUUUACCAGAUGGUUUAAUCAACUUUGAUAAAAAACGAAAAGAAUUUGAAGUUUUAGCUCAGGUAUGUAUUGUUUAGAUUUUAAUUUGAUAAAUAUUAAAAUGUUUACUGAAGUUGAUAAUAGUUUGGAAUGUUUACAAAUAUUAUUUUUUUUUUGUUUUAGAUCAAGCUUUUGCAAGGUGCUGCUAAUUCAUAUAAUAUAUCUGAUGAUGUAGUAUUUGACCAAUGGUUUCACUCAAUAUUAGUUUUGGAUGACAGAGAAGCAUUUAGAAUUUCUUGUCAAAUAGAAAUUCCAGACAAUUUACCUCCAUCCUGUACAAAUUCAAUUAUUGGAACAGGAAAGAAACAAAAGUAUAUAAAAUAUGAUAUUAUGUAAAAACAUUAAAAUUUCAAAAUGAUAAAUCUAAUCAAGUGAUAAUAUUUGAAUAAUGUCAUUACAGUUAUGAACAUAAGAAAAAUGAUUCAAUUUCUAGUAAUUUUAGUACUAAAAGCUACUAUGGUUUAUCUGAUGAUGGUUUACAAUCACCAAACAACUCAAUUGAUAAACAGGUAAAAUUUCUAAAUAAUGAAUUAUGUUUAAAUUAUAUCUUGUUAUUUUUUUUUUUUUUUUUUAAUUAAGAUCAUUAAUUUCUUAUAACAAUUAUUUUUGAGAUAAGCAUAAAUUGCCAAUAGUUCAUUCUACAAUUAAUUUUAUAUAAACGAAUUAGUUAUUUAACUAUGAAUGAUAGAGUGAUCAUUGAAAGUAAUAUUAUUAUUAAAGAAUGCCUAAAUUAUUGAAGAAUGUUUGAUUUUAGGAUUCAUUAUUUGAUUUAUCAUCUUCAUCAAGUAACUAUUCUAUGAAAUCAUUUGAUAUGUCCUUGAAUGGAAGCCAUAAUACAAAUACUUUGGUUAAACACAAUGUUAACAAUUCAACAUUGAACACUUCUCCUGAUUUUUAUAUUAUUAGAAUUACUGUGGAUGCUAACAAUGUUGAGACUGAUGGUAUGUUUUAUUUAUUAUUUAAUAAAGGGUGAUCAACUACAAGAUACUCAUUAUCUUUUUUUUUUGUCAUUUGUCACUAAAGUAACUAUUCAAUCAAUAAAAAAAAAAAAACUAUAUCUGCCAAUCUUUAUCAUUAAAUUUUGAUAAUAUAGGGUUUUCCAAUUAGAGCGGGCCAAUCUUAUCUGCGCUGUAUAGCCUUAUCGUUUUGUUGAAUUUUGUCGAAAUACAAAACGAACACGUUCUAUUAGAAUGAAUACAUAAAUAACUGAAUAUCAUAUAUUUAAUAUACUACUUUUUUUUUUGUAGUAUGUUUCUAUCUAUGUUAUGUUAUAAUGAAGUAUAAAAGAAAAUUGUAAUUGUGUAUAAGUAUAGGGUUUUCCAAUUAGAGUGGGCCGAUCUUAUCUGCGCUGUAUAGCCUUAUCGUUUUGUUGACGUCUGUCUAAUUUAUUGUUUAUUAUUCAGUCACUAAUGCCAAAUCAUCAUGGUUAGUUACACUAUAGAGCAGCGCGUCCAAAUUAUAAAAUUUUAUUAUCAAAAUAAAUGUUCGGUAGUUCAAACUUUGCGCUCGUUACGUCCAUUUUUUGGCCGACGUAGUGGUCCUUCAAAGUCGACUCUCCAACGUUUGGUGUCGAAAUUUGAGACAAAUGGUUCGGUAAACGAUCAGUUAACACCCGUACGUCAAAGAAACGCCAGAUCGGUCCAGAAUAUCGCCGCGGUACGUGAAAGUGUGCAGGAGAACCCGAGGCAGUCAAUUCCUCGCCGUGCACAAGAACUCGGUCUUUCACAGUCUUCAACUUGGCGAAUUUUGCGCCGGGACUUGGGCUUACACCCAUAUAAGAUCCAACUGACCCAGGAGCUCAAAAUUAAUGACCAUAGACAACGCCGAUUGUUUGCUGACUGGGUUUNAAGCGCAUUUUUGGAUGAAUGGCUAUGUUACAAGCAAAAUUACCGUAUUCGGGACAAUACCAACCCACACGAGGUUCAACUGGUAACAAUGUAUCGACAAAAAGUUACUGUUUGGUGCGGAUUUUGGGCCGGCGGUAUCAUUGGUCCGUACUUUUUUGAAAAUGACGUUCGUGAGGCCAUCACCGUCAAUGGUGAGCGAUACAGAACGAUGAUAACCAAUUUUUUUUUUUCCCAAAAUGAACGGUAUGGACGUAGACGACAUGUGGUUUCAGCAGGAUGGCACUACGUGCCAUACAUCCAACGCCACGAUAGCCAUUCUGAACGGCAAAUUUGAGGGUAUGGUUAUCUCUCGCCGAUGAGACGUGAAUUGGCCACCAAGAUCGUGUGAUUAGACCCCAUUAGACUUUUUCUUGUGGGGUUUCCUGAAGUCGCAGGUCUAUGCCGAUAAGCCAAAAUCAACAGAUGACCUUAAAGUGAACAUAACCCAGGCCAUCGCUCGAAUUCAACCGGAUAUAUGCGGCAGAGUCAUUGAAAAUUGGACCACUCGGAUUCGUGCCACUGUGAGAAGCCGUGGCGGACAUUUAAACGAUAUUAUAUUCAAAACAUAAUUGGCAUACUUAGAACUUUAAAAUAAAAAAAAAAUUUCACUAAUACCUCGCACAUAGCUUGUUUUAUUUCAUUUCAACAUCCACCCGCUCUUAUUGAAAAACCCUAUAUAUCUUUAAGAUGCUUCAGUAUAAACAUUUUCAAACCUUUAAUGAUUACUAUAGUAUAUUUAUAUAAACAAAUUCAAUUAUUUUAGGAAUAGUAUUAUACAAAAGCAUUAUAUUAAAUAAUAAUGAGCGAACACCUCAAGUCAUCCGAAAUGCUAUGUUAAAAUUUUGUAUUGACGAUAAUCCUGAAAAUUAUACUUUAUCUCAAGUUUUACCAGAUAAAGGUCAGUAGACAAUUUUAUUAAUACUUAAAUUCUGUAUUGUACGACUAUUUAUAUAUAAUAUAAUUUUCCUUUGAACAUUUCAGAAAUGGUUUUACCAACCAAUGCCAAUGUUUAUUAUGCAAUGAAUACAGAGUAUGACUUAAACUUUUUAUUACGUAAAAAAAUGUUGAUAAACAAUACAAUUCCUAAAAAAUAAAUUGUUUAAACUAAGAACUGACUAGUAAAAUCAUAAUGAUAUUUUAUUUUAUUUAUUGUAUAUGUAUAUUAUAUGUACAAAAAAACAAAAAUUAUUAUAAUAAAAUAAAUUGUAUUAUCAUUUAUAUCCUAUUUAUCCUUAAGUUUUCAUAGGGUUUCAUAGUUCAUUUUGUUUUUGGGCAUUUUGAAUAUGAAAAGAGCUGAUACUUAGGUAUGGGUGUGGUCACUAUUUUAGUUUGGCAGUUGAGAAGGUAUGAUACAUAAAGUUAUUUAAUAUACCUGUAACCAAAGAUAAACCAUUACUAAUUCGGUUAUGCAUGUUUUGAAAAACUGUAAUAUUUACAAUUAUCGACAAAAUUUAAUUUUAAAACUUAUAAAAAAUAAAUACUACAUUACACUCAUUUUUUUUUUUUUUUUUUACCACUAAGUUCAACAAAUUAUCAAGCAUUUUUAUUAAGUCUAACAAUUUUAUCAGUGGUGAAAUAUUGAAAGGAAAAAAUAAAAAUUUUGUCAUAUUUCUGGUAGAAAAAUGAUGUACACAUCACAUUUAAAACAAUGAAACCAGUAACUCCAUGGCACAUACUAUUAUUUUAUAAAUGCUUAAGUAGGUAAAUAUUUGUUUUUCCAUUUAAAAAAUGUGCCUAAUAUUAUAUAUAUGCAUAAUUAAUAUUUUGUUUUUUAUUUUUAGGUUAUAAAAUUAAAACUAUGCCAGGUCACAAUGAGACAAUACAGAUUCAAAACAUAUUGCCCAUACUAAGUUAACAAAAAUUAAACAAAAUAUGAAAAAAAUUAAAAUAUUUUGUUUGUUUUGUUUCUUUUUUCAUUUGUCUACACAUACUAAAAAACUUUAUUUCAAAAUUAUAAUGCCAACACAAUACUUUUGAUGUUUACCUAUGUUAUUAGAAAAAAUAUAAUUAUUUUAAUUUUGUCACAGUGACAUAAGAUUGUAUUUAUAAACUUACACAAACAUACAAGAAAAACUCAGUGUUUGAAAAAAUACAAAACAAUUUUCUGUCUUAUUUUUGUAUACUUUUAUAUAAAUGAAUGGUUUUAUGUCCC
rnacentral:lncRNA from 1 species